GAGGCAGCAGUGGGGAAUAUUGCACAAUGGGCGCAAGCCUGAUGCAGCCAUGCCGCGUGUAUGAAGAAGGCCCUAGGGUUGUAAAGUACUUUCAGUCGGGAGGAAGGCGUUGAUGCUAAUAUCAUCAACGAUUGACGUUACCGACAGAAGAAGCACCGGCUAACUCCGUGCCAGCAGCCGCGGUAAUACGGAGGGUGCAAGCGUUAAUCGGAAUUACUGGGCGUAAAGCGCACGCAGGCGGUUGAUUAAGUUAGA
rnacentral:rRNA from 1 species